rnacentral:rRNA from 1 species
UGGCGAACGGGUGAGUAACGCGUGAGGAACCUGCCUCAAAGAGGGGGACAACAGUUGGAAACGACUGCUAAUACCGCAUAAGCCCACGACCCGGCAUCGGGUAGAGGGAAAAGGAGCAAUCCGCUUUGAGAUGGCCUCGCGUCCGAUUAGCUAGUUGGCGAGGUAACGGCCCACCAAGGCGACGAUCGGUAGCCGGACUGAGUGGUUGAACGGCCACAUUGGGACUGAGACACGGCCCAG